rnacentral:rRNA from 1 species
AUGGCGGCGAGCGAGCAGAGCUCGGAGUCCUCGUCGACGUCCUGCACUUCCUCCUACUCCACGUCCUCGUGCUCCCCCAGGGCCGACGACAAGAAGCAGAACGGCGGCAACAAGCGGAAGCGCGCAGCGGCGGCCGACGAGGAGCCGGCCCCGGCGGCGGCGUCGUCGGCGUCGUACCGCGGCGUGCGGAUGCGGGCGUGGGGCAAGUGGGUGUCGGAGAUCAGGGAGCCGCGCAAGAAGUCCCGCAUCUGGCUCGGCACCUUCCCGUGCCCGGAGAUGGCCGCGCGCGCCCACGACGCCGCCGCGCUCAGCAUCAAGGGCGCCCGCGCCGUGCUCAACUUCCCGGACCUAGCGCCCGCGCUCCCGCGCCCGGCCUCCCUCGCCCCGUGCGACGUCCAGGCCGCCGCCGCGCGCGCCGCCCUCAUGCACGACCACGACCACCAGUGCUGCUCCGCCUCAACCUCCCCCGCCGCCGCUCCCGCCUCUCCGCGCGGCAAUACCCCGGCGCCAUGCGGCCAGCCGGCCGCGCGAGACGAGCCGGAGCAUCAGCCGCCGUUCCAGCCGAGCCAGGGAAACGAGCAGCAGCUCACGGCUGCACAGGUGGAGAUGGUGUUCGACGAGCUGGCGCCGCUGUGGGUGGAGGACGUGGUGGACUUCGCGCCGUCCGAUCACUGCUGGACGGCGUACGAUUGUCUCGACCCCAUCGGCUUCCAGCCUCUCCUGUGGGAGUAUUAG